rnacentral:rRNA from 1 species
CCUACGGGGGGCAGCAGUGGGGAAUAUUGGACAAUGGGGGCAACCCUGAUCCAGCCAUGCCGCGUGUGUGAAGAAGGCCCUCGGGUUGUAAAGCACUUUCAGUGAGGAAGAACGCCUGGUGGUUAAUACCCAUCAGGAAAGACAUCACUCACAGAAGAAGCACCGGCUAACUCCGUGCCAGCAGCCGCGGUAAUACGGAGGGUGCGAGCGUUAAUCGGAAUUACUGGGCGUAAAGCGCGCGUAGGUGGCUUGAUAAGCCGGUUGUGAAAGCCCCGGGCUCAACCUGGGAACGGCAUCCGGAACUGUCAAGCUAGAGUGCAGGAGAGGAAGGUAGAAUUCCCGGUGUAGCGGUGAAAUGCGUAGAGAUCGGGAGGAAUACCAGUGGCGAAGGCGGCCUUCUGGACUGACACUGACUCUGAGGUGCGAAAGCGUGGGUAGCAAACAGGAUUAGAUACCCUUGUAGUC